UACAGAGGUCUCAAGCGUUGUUCGGAUUCAUUGGGCGUAAAGAGCUCGUAGGCGGUUCGGCAAGUCGAAUGUGAAAUCUCCACGCUCAACGUGGAGGGGUCAUUCGAUACUGCCGUGACUCGAGUCCGGUAGGGGAGUGUGGAAUUCCCGGUGUAGCGGUGAAAUGCGCAGAGAUCGGGAGGAACACCCGUAGCGAAGGCGGCACUCUGGGCCGGUACUGACGCUGAGGCGCGAAAGCGUGGGGAUCAAACAGG
rnacentral:rRNA from 1 species